rnacentral:rRNA from 1 species
AGCCAGGUGUUUUCACGCUUGGUUAUUUCUGCUCAAUGGUAAGUUAAAUAGCCGCAGUACCCUGACUGUGCAAAGGUAGCAUAAUCAUUUGGCUUAUAAUUGAAGUCUGGCAUGAAGGAAAUCAUGGGUAGCAACUGUCUUCUAUAAAUUACUAGAAUUUACUAAAUAGGUGAAAAUGCCUAUAAAUUAAUAAUAGACGAGAAGACCCUAGAAAUUUUAAUAUAAAAGUAUUUUUAACUUACUAUUUUGUUGGGGCGACAGAAUAACAGUUGAACUUAUUUUAAUAUAUUUGUACUAAUUUUUGAGUAAAAUUAAAUUACUCUAGGGAUAACAGCAUAAUUUACUUAAAGUUUGUGACCUCGAUGUUGGACUAGGGUUUUUAAUAAUCAGAAGUUAUUAAACUAGGCUCUGUUCGAGCUUUAUUCCCU